rnacentral:tRNA from 1 species
GCUUUAAUAGUCAAAUUAUUAUAUGAUAUUAGAUUGCAAAUCUAAAGUAGGAAUAUAGCCUUAAAGCU